rnacentral:rRNA from 1 species
AAACUUAAAGAAAUGGACGGAAGGCCACCACCAGGAGUGGACCUUGCGGUUUAAUUGGAUUCACCACGGGAAUUUUCCCCAGGCCCGGCCACUGGAAGGAUUGACAGAAUGAAAGCUCUUUCUUAAUGAAGUGGAUGGUGGUGCAUGGCCGUUCUUAGUUGGUGGAGUGAUCUGUCUGGUUAAUUCCGAUAACGAACGAGACUCUCCCCUGCUAACGGACCUUAGUGUUUUUCUAGACGGUGUGAUUCGGAGCAAGAGUCCAUGGGCGUAAGCCCCGGUCUCGGACGAUGUCCACUGACCCUUGGUGCGUUGGUGUUCCGCGUGCCAUCGGAGAGUCGAGUGUUCGCAUUCUUCGCCUCUGUGGAUUUCUCGGUUCAUUGACAAAGCGCCUCGGAGUACGUUUCUUCUUAGAGGGAUUGACGACUUAUAAGUCGUAAGAAACAGGGAGCAAUAACAGGUCUGUGAUGCCCUUAG